rnacentral:rRNA from 1 species
CGUCCAGACUCCUACGGGAGGCAGCAGUGGGGGAUAUUGGACAAUGGGGGAAACCCUGAUCCAGCGACGCCGCGUGAGUGAAGAAGUAUUUCGGUAUGUAAAGCUCUGUCAGCAGGGAAGAAAGAAAUGACGGUACCUGACCAAGAAGCCCCGGCUAACUACGUGCCAGCAGCCGCGGUAAUACGUAGGGGGCAAGCGUUAUCCGGAUUUACUGGGUGUAAAGGGGGCGCAGACGGUAAUGCAAGCCAGGAGUGAAAGCCCGGGGCCCAACCCCGGGACUGCUCUUGGAACUGCAUGGCUGGAGUACAGGAGGGGCAGGCGGAAUUCCUAGUGUAGCGGUGAAAUGCGUAGAUAUUAGGAGGAACACCGGUGGCGAAGGCGGCCUGCUGGACUGCGACUGACGUUGAGGCUCGAAAGCGUGGGGAGCGAACAGGAUUAGAUACCCUAGUA